CCGGGGAUAACAGGCUGAUGAUGCCCAAGAGUCCAUAUCGACGGCAUUGUUUGGCACCUCGAUGUCGGCUCAUCUCAUCCUGGGGCUGGAGCAGGUCCCAAGGGUACGGCUGUUCGCCGUUUAAAGAGGUACGUGAGCUGGGUUUAGAACGUCGUGAGACAGUUCGGUCCCUAUCUUCCGUGGGUGUAGGAUACUUGAGAGGA
rnacentral:rRNA from 1 species